rnacentral:lncRNA from 10 species
CAGGACCCUGCUAAGCCAAGCUCAGAUUCUCGACCUACAGAAACUAUGAAAUAAUAAAUAUUGUCUUAGGCCACUGAUUUCUGGGUUAAACUGUUAUGCAGCAAUAAACAAAUACACCAACUAAAGAAAAAUUCUUGCUGUAACUGGAUAAGAUGAGCAUUUAUUUCAGUUAUCAUAGAAACAAACUCAGUGCAAUGACUGGGAUGACUAAAAGAUGGCCAUAAGAGAGGAGACAGGCUGUAUUCCACGUCCAAUUCCCAGUGAAUACAACAACAAAAGAAUUAUUAUUUCAGUAGUACUAGCACUUCCUUUCUUAGCUACCAUGGAUCAGCUUGCAGCACACCAACCCUCUUGCAAUGAAC